AGUAGAGUGGCUGAGAUUAAAGUAGGUGGUAGAUUGUAAGUCUAUUAAGGGGUUAUACCCCUCUACUA
rnacentral:tRNA from 1 species